rnacentral:rRNA from 1 species
UACGUAGGUGGCAAGCGUUGUCCGGAAUUAUUGGGCGUAAAGCGCGCGCAGGCGGUCCUUUAAGUCUGAUGUGAAAGCCCACGGCUCAACCGUGGAGGGUCAUUGGAAACUGGGGGACUUGAGUGCAGAAGAGGAGAGUGGAAUUCCACGUGUAGCGGUGAAAUGCGCAGAGAUGUGGAGGAACACCAGUGGCGAAGGCGACUCUCUGGUCUGUAACUGACGCUGAGGCGCGAAAGCGUGGGGAGCGAACAGG